rnacentral:lncRNA from 1 species
AUUUGGUGCAUAAUGGGCACAGCUGCUCAAGCCCAUAGCACAAGGUGGGGGACUGUCUGGAGGAAGUGGCACUACCUGAGGGGUUCCUUGCCUCACACACUGUUCUCAGCCCUCUACAUACCUUUCCCCCUCAAAGGCCACCUGUAGACAGGCAAUACUCAUCUUCCUUUUGCAGAUGAAGAGGUGGACUUAGAGUGAAGCAAUGACAUUCCCAGGGAACACAGAUGACUCCACUCCAGGACGACUGGAGAGUUCAUGCUCUUGACACCUUCCCUCUACUGCUUCUCUGCAGAGGGCGGCCCCAAGGGUGGGCAGCACGGAACUGAGGAACCCAGCAGGCAAGCACGGGAGUUUGUGCUCUUCGUUGUAGUUUUGAAAGAAAAGUCAUGCUUCAAUUAAUAACAGACAACGGAGUCAAUAUGAUGGGAGCAGAGACAAUGAUGUGAUCAAAUGCCAAGAAAUGACUGACAGCUGAAAAAAUAUCUUGUGAGCCAAAGCAAUUUCUCUUGACUUCUAACUUUAUUCAUCCAACGAAUAACAUUUCAUCACAGUUUUAUCAAUGGAAUGCAAUUCCACCCAGAUCAUUC